UACGAAGGGGGCUAGCGUUGUUCGGAAUUACUGGGCGUAAAGCGCACGUAGGCGGAUGUGUCAGUCAGGGGUGAAAUCCCGGGGCUCAACCUCGGAACUGCCUUUGAUACAGCACGUCUCGAGUCCGGAAGAGGUGGGUGGAAUUCCUAGUGUAGAGGUGAAAUUCGUAGAUAUUAGGAAGAACACCGGUGGCGAAGGCGGCUCACUGGUCCGGUACUGACGCUGAGGUGCGAAAGCGUGGGGAGCAAACAGG
rnacentral:rRNA from 1 species